GAUGAACGCUGGCGGCGUGCUUAACACAUGCAAGUCGAACGAAGCAUUUAGAACAGAUUGCUUCGGUUUGAAGUUCUUUAUGACUGAGUGGCGUACGGGUGAGUAACGCGUGGGUAACCUGCCUUGUACUGGGGGAUAGCAGCUGGAAACGGCUGGUAAUACCGCAUAAGCGCACAAUGUUGCAUGACAUGGUGUGAAAAACUCCGGUGGUAUAAGAUGGACCCGCGUCUGAUUAGCUAGUUGGUGAGAUAACGGCCCACCAAGGCUUGGAUGGGUAGCCGGCCGGAGAGGGUGACCGGCCACAUUGGGACGGAGAUACGGCCCAGACGCCUACGGGAGGCAGCAGGGGGGAAUAUUGCAGAAUGGGCGGAAGCCUGAUGCAGCAACGCCGCGUGCGGGAUGACGGCCUUCGGGUUGUAAACCGCUUUCGCCUGUGACGAAGCGGGAGUGACGGUAAUGGGUAAAGAAGCACCGGCUAACUACGUG
rnacentral:rRNA from 1 species